UUAUGGCCAUACCACAUUGAAACAUCAGUUCUUGUAUGAUCACCAAAGUUAAGCUAUGUCGAGCCUAGUCAGUACUUAAAUGGGUGACCACUUGAGAAUACCAGGUGCUGUAAG